GUCGUCGCAAAGAGAUCUGUAAAAGACAUAUAUAUUCUAAAUGAAACUUCUACAUAAUUCUACAAAUCCUCUAUCGAAAGGAUAGCGGGGAAAAUGGUUGCAUUCUAAGACUACGGUUCAUUGGAAAAAAUAUGAACUUCUAGUCAACACAGCCCCAACAAGGAAUUGCCGAACGAAUAACUGAAGAGCAUUGAAUCGAAUACACUAAAAAUAAAAGAGUUAAGAAAGUAAAGUGCAAGGAUGCCUGGAGGYGAUAUUAAAAAGAAGCGAAAGACGUAUAAAAUAUAAAAACAGCACAUGUAUGCACAAGAAGAAAUAACUGCCAGUAGAACCUCUUGUACCUUGUCCGGAACGAACCAGCCCAGAUGUGAUUGCCGCUUGUAAACAAAAU